rnacentral:rRNA from 1 species
GCAGUCGACGGUGAGCUCCAGCUUGCUGGAGUGGAUCAGUGGCGAACGGGUGAGUAACACGUGAGCAACCUGCCCCUGACUCUGGGAUAACAGUCGGAAACGAUUGCUAAUACCGGAUAUGCACCAUGAACGCAUGUUCUGUGGUGGGAAAGAUUUUUCGGUUGGGGAUGGGCUCGCGGCCUAUCAGCUUGUUGGUGAGGUAAUGGCUCACCAAGGCGUCGACGGGUAGCCGGCCUGAGAGGGUGACCGGCCACACUGGGACUGAGACACGGCCCAGACUCCUACGGGAGGCAGCAGUGGGGAAUAUUGCACAAUGGGCGAAAGCCUGAUGCAGCAACGCCGCGUGAGGGAUGACGGCCUUCGGGUUGUAAACCUCUUUUAGCAGGGAAGAAGCGAGAGUGACGGUACCUGCAGAAAAAGCGCCGGCUAACUACGUGCCAGCAGCCGCGGUAAUACGUAGGGCGCAAGCGUUAUCCGGAAUUAUUGGGCGUAAAGAGCUCGUAGGCGGUUUGUCGCGUCUGCUGUGAAAACUGGAGGCUCAACCUCCAGCCUGCAGUGGGUACGGGCAGACUAGAGUGCGGUAGAGGAGAUUGGAAUUCCUGGUGUAGCGGUGGAAUGCGCAGAUAUCAGGAGGAACACCGAUGGCGAAGGCAGAUCUCUGGGCCGUAACUGACGCUGAGGAGCGAAAGGGUGGGGAGCAAACAGGCUUAGAUACCCUGGUAGUCCACCCCGUAAACGUUGGGAACUAGUUGUGGGGGCCUUUCCACGGUCUCCGUGACGCAGCUAACGCAUUAAGUUCCCCGCCUGGGGAGUACGGCCGCAAGGCUAAAACUCAAAGGAAUUGACGGGGACCCGCACAAGCGGCGGAGCAUGCGGAUUAAUUCGAUGCAACGCGAAGAACCUUACCAAGGCUUGACAUAUACGGGAACGGGCUAGAAAUAGUCAACUCUUUGGACACUCGUAUACAGGUGGUGCAUGGUUGUCGUCAGCUCGUGUCGUGAGAUGUUGGGUUAAGUCCCGCAACGAGCGCAACCCUCGUUCU